CUGUAACACCAUUAUUUUUGUAACUUAACAUUUCGUUUAUUGUUUACAUUCUGUUUGUUUACUUUGUUAGUCUUGUCAAGUAUCAGCUGUCAAAUUCGACACACAGGAUAGAUUUUCAGUUGUUGUCUGUGGUCCUUUGAGAAAACUCGUGCUAGAUCGUCAUCGGACAGUGGUCAGUGGCGACAUGACGCUCAGAACAAUGAUCGUGCUGACUAGCCACAGAGUAGUUUUGUGACGAUGAGCUGACAUCCCCGGUGACGGCUUUUUUUCGGAACUGGCAAGGAGGCAAACCAUUCUCUGUCAGAAGGUCUCGAGUAAAUGUGUGGUUAGAUUUUUCUUCCCGCCCGCGUGGCGCAGGCCGUAUUGGUACCAAGUUCCUUGCUUCAUAUUUCCUGGUGAGUAUUUCGAUCGUGGGUUCAGGUUAUCUGAUUGGUCUACGAGAUAGAUUCUGACUAAGUUGUUUCUUUGCAGUUACCAGAUACGUGUCACAGACACCCACGCAGCAUCACACCAUGUGUACCUAACCUGAAUUGCCGACAAUUUCAAUCCUGCCCGGUGAAGCGUGCGAUUGCCAGACGCGUGUCACCUGACCCAACCCCAAGGUAAGCGCCAUGACCUUCCACGUGUCGAUUAGGUUAUUUUGCAAGUGUCACGUUUAAACAGCAAAGCUACCGCCUUUGAGACGAGAUCUAACCUUCCCAUAAUCGUUUGAUUAGUGAUUGACCGUAGGUUUUAGGUUAGAAAUACCCAGGGGCCAUUCAAGACACGUCACUUGAGACAUGUUAGCUAGGCCUUCGCUGUCCUUACCGACCCAUCCUUGACCCAAGGCUGUUUCUCGCGAUUCCAGAAGGUGUCGUUGGUGACCAGAGCCGUCAGCGAGCCACGAGCCGUCCGGAGCUCCUGUCCUGGCCCCGUCCGACAGUCCAGGUUGGCCGUUGUAUGUUCGUUGAGCGGAUACUGAGGAAUUUCCUUAGGAUUUCUAUUAAUCUUCAGCGGCAUCAGCCUUCUAACGCCGCUGCUGAAUGUAGGAUUGCAAAGGCAGAACCCGGGUGGACUCUAGCGGGUUAAAACCUUUAUUUUUUAUUUUUUUUUACUUCGUAGGGAGCCCCGUUAGAACGGGCAGUAGUAUCUAAAUUGCACUUUGAACCUUUUGUAGGCGCUAGGCUAUCAACGUCCUUCGGUUACGGGGCCUUAACGUUAAACUGCUAUCCCAUUGAAGUAAUAUAGAAGUUUCUCUGGGGUUAAUACCAUCUUCCUAUCCCUGUGGCGUGAAACACAGGGGUAGAACCUUUGGUUUCCCCACUUUAAUGUAAUCUCCUUGUAAUACCUUGUAUACUUCAACCAGACAAUUAUAAGGACUUAAUCCCUGGUCUCAUUUUAGACCUAUUUGAGUUAUAAAAUAUUGUGUGAGGCAGGGUUUUGAUAAAUAAAUAUUAAUAACUGUACAACA